rfam:Candidatus Desantisbacteria bacterium CG1_02_38_46 cg1_0.2_scaffold_3078_c, whole genome shotgun sequence.
GUCUGAAACCCGAGUCCAUUAAAACAAGGAUUGAAAC